rnacentral:rRNA from 1 species
AUGGCCGCGCAGAUGCUCCGUCGGUGGAAGAGCUUCUACGGCGCCUUCGACCUCGUGGACGCCGCCAUCGAGGCCGCCGAUCCAGACCAAUUCUCACGCCACGUGUUCCGGCGCGCGAGGGGAGACCUGGUGGGACGGCUCUGCAGCGCCGCCGACGACGACCAGGCGGAGCGUAUCUGCGGGAUUCUCGACGACUUCAUGGGGGAGUCUCUCGAGACGCUGAGGCUGGUUCCAUCAACGCCAGGGCGCGUCCGCCUCCUCGCGCGCGGCAUCGUGAGCGGGUGGGAGGCCUCCGUCCAGGUCACAGCAGCCAUGCCGAUGAAGAAGCUGCUGCAGCCCAAGGCGACCGUCGGCCAGCAGCAGCAGCAGCGUGUCUCCGCCGACCCUGACACGAAGACGAAGCGGCCUCCCAAGAUCGUCGGCGAGCCGUUGUCCAAGAAGUCGGCUGAAAUCAUACGGUGA